rnacentral:rRNA from 1 species
GCUUGUCUCAAAGAUUAAGCCAUGCAUGUCUAAGUAUAAACAAAUUUAUAGUGAAACUGCGAAUGGCUCAUUAUAUCAGUUAUAGUUUAUUUGGCGAUAAAAACUACUUGGAUAACCGUAGUAAUUCUAGAGCUAAUACAUGCGCCCAGACCCAACUUUUAGGAAGGGUUGUAUUUAUUAGGUACAGAACCAAUGCAAGCUCCGCUUGACCUUUUGGUGAUUCAUGGUAACCGAACGAAUCGCACGGCACCAGCUGGCGAUGGACCAUUUCAGUUUCUGACCUAUCAGCUUCCGACGGUAGGAUAUGGGCCUACCGUGGCAAUGACGGGUAACGGAGAAUUAGGGUUCGAUUCCGGAGAGGGAGCCUGAGAAACGGCUACCACAUCUAAGGAAGGCAGCAGG